UGACCUGUGAUGUAACGGCAGCAUCCAAGAUUUUGAUUCUUGGUGUAAAGGUUCGAAUCCUUUCAGGUCAUCAA
rnacentral:tRNA from 2 species